UAGGGAAUAUUGGACAAUGGGUGCGAGCCUGAUCCAGCCAUGCCGCGUGCAGGAAGACGGCCUUCUGGGUUGUAAACUGCUUUUGCCAGGGGAUAAAAAGACCAUGCGUGGUCAAUUGAAGGUACCUGGUGAAUAAGCCACGGCUAACUACGUGCCAGCAGCCGCGGUAAUACGUAGGUGGCAAGCGUUGUCCGGAUUUAUUGGGUUUAAAGGGUGCGUAGGCGGUCUUAUAAGUCAGUUGUGAAAUACUUCAGCUUAACUGGAGAGGUGCAAUUGAUACUGUAAGACUUGAGUACAGACGAGGUAGGCGGAAUUGACGGUGUAGCGGUGAAAUGCUUAGAUAUCGUCAAGAACACCGAUAGCGAAGGCAGCUUACUAGACUGUAACUGACGCUGAUGCACGAAAGUGUGGGGAUCAAACA
rnacentral:rRNA from 1 species